rnacentral:rRNA from 1 species
GAUGAACGCUGGCGGCGUGCCUAAUACAUGCAAGUCGAGCGAACAGAUAAGGAGCUUGCUCCUUUGACGUUAGCGGCGGACGGGUGAGUAACACGUGGGUAACCUACCUAUAAGACUGGGAUAACUUCGGGAAACCGGAGCUAAUACCGGAUAACAUUUGGAACCGCAUGGUUCUACAGUGAAAGAUGGUUUUGCUAUCACUUAUAGAUGGACCCGCGCCGUAUUAGCUAGUUGGUAAGGUAACGGCUUACCAAGGCGACGAUACGUAGCCGACCUUAGAGGGUGAUCGGCCACACUGGAACUGAGACACGGUCCAGACUCCUACGGGAGGCAGCAGUAGGGAAUCUUCCGCAAUGGGCGAAAGCCUGACGGAGCAACGCCGCGUGAGUGAUGAAGGGUUUCGGCUCGUAAAACUCUGUUAUUAGGGAAGAACAAAUGUGUAAGUAACUGUGCACGUCUUGACGGUACCUAAUCAGAAAGCCACGGCUAACUACGUG